AGUGCUCCUGACUGGAGAGCCCAGGCUGAGAUGGUGUUAAAUGCUUUUACCACGUGGGCUCCUGGCACCAAAUGAGCAAGCAAUGUCACCUUGAGAAAGUUACUCAAACUCUGUGUCUCAGUUUCAUCAUCUGUAAAAUGAGGGAUUGCUAGUACCUACUUGAAAGAUACUGCGAGUGAGGACAGCAAAAAUCAGCUAAUGACCAUGAACAGAUCUCACCCCACAGGCCUUGGAAACCUGAGGCAGUAUUCUUCUGGGAUGUUUCCAACUAGGCUUCCCAUGAGGAUGUUAGAGCCAGCCUGGCUGGUGAAUUUUACUUCUCUCACCUCUCAGAGGUAAGAGGUCUGAGAGGCUCAGGCCCUUCCAGCUUUUGAGGAUUCCAGCAUAGUAGAAACAUAAAAAGGUCCAAAGGGAAUUACAAAAAUAAUCUAUUUUCAGUUCUUAUACUUAACAAGUCAAUUCUUAUUAAAAAAAUAAAUCAAUCAAACUUUUGUUUGAUAUAAUUAUAGAUUCCAAGGAAGUUGUAAAGAUAGUACAGGAGGUCCCUGUGCAUCUUUCACCCAGUUUCCUCCAGUUUUAUGCCACUAGAGUACAAUAUCCAAACCAGGACAUUGACAUUGGAGCCAUAUGCAUGUAUAUUUCCAUGUCAUUUUAUCUCAUGUGUAUGCUCAUGUACCCAUCACUUCAAUCAGGUUAGAGACUAGACCAUCCCUCAUG
rnacentral:lncRNA from 10 species